rnacentral:rRNA from 1 species
AUUGAACGCUGGCGGCAGGACUAACACCUGCAAGUCGAACGAGUGGCGGACGGGUGAGUAAUGACUGGGAAACUGCCCGCUGGAGGGGGAUAAAUACUGGAAACGGUAGCUAAUACCGCAUACCAUCGGAUGUGCCCAGAUGGGAUUAGCUAGUAGGAGGGGUAACGGCGCACCUAGGCGAAGAUCCCUAGCUGGUCUGAGAGGAUGACCAGCCACACUGGAACUGAGACACGGUCCAGACUCCGACGGGAGUCAGCAGUGGGGAAUAUUGCACAAUGGGCGCAAGCCUGAUGCAGCCAUGCCGCGUGUAUGAAGAAGGCCUUCGGGUUGUAAAGUACUUUCAGCGAGGAGGCGUUACUCGCAGAAGAAGCAUCGGCUAACUCCGUGCCAGCAGCCGCGGUAAUAC